rnacentral:rRNA from 1 species
GACGAACGCUGGCGGCGUGCUUAACACAUGCAAGUCGAACGGAAAGGCCCUGCUUUCGGGGUGCGCUCGUGUCGCGAACGGGUGUAAAACACGGGAGUUCCCUGCCCUAGACCUUGAUAUACCUUCAGGACACUGGGUAAAAUCCCGGAUAGGACCUCCUGAUGCAUGUGGGGGGUAGGAAUUUUUCGGCGGUUGGGGAUGGACUCGCGGCUUAUCAGCUUGUUGGGGGGGUAGGGGCUAACCAGGGCUUUGACGGCUGGCCGGCCUGAGUGGGGGACCGGCACCAUGGGAAUUGGGAUACGGCCCGGCCUCCUACGGGGGGCAGAAGUGGGGAAUAUUGCACAAUGGGCGGAAGCCGGAUGCAGCAACGCCGCGUGCGGGAUGACGGCUUUCGGGUGGUAAACCGUUUUCGCCUGUGACGAAGUGUGAGUGACGGUAAUGGGUAAAGAAGCACCGGCUAACUACGUG